GGGACACACGUGGGUUAUUUCCUGCUCUGUCUUCAGUCUCUAGCCCAGUCUCUGACAUGUGCUAGAUAUGAAUUAUCUGCCUAAAGAAGGAAAAGACAGUUGCCAUGUCGUAACCCUGCAAAGAGCUGGAGAAGCCAGCUGCCAAGUCAUGAAGACCUUCAAGCAACCUAUGGAGAGGCCCAUAAAGGAGGAAACUGAAGUCCCCAGUAACAGCUAAUGAGGACCUGAGGCCCACCAACUGCCCCAUGAAUCCAGAACCAAAGGCUGUGUGUGGGUUUCUGGUCUCUGAAGUCUCUUACAAAAAUAAAUACACUGGAAAAUAAAGAGAAAAGUUCCAUCACAUAGACACAAGAAGCUAGACCCUUCUUUCCGGGUGAUAAACGGGGCAGCAAACCCAGUGAAAUAG
rnacentral:lncRNA from 1 species